rnacentral:rRNA from 1 species
AGCUCCAAUAGCGUAUAUUAAAGUUGCUGCAGUUAAAAAGCUCGUAGUUGCAUUUCCGAGGCAAGGGAUUAGUCCGACCUUUGGUGGGUAUUUCAUCCUCUUUCCUCGUCCUUGAGUGGUGCUUCUUGGUAUUAAGUUAUCGAGGAGAUAGCCGCUCAUCGUUUACUGUGAGAAAAUUAGAGUGUUCAAAGCAGGCUUAUGCCGUUGAAUAUAUUAGCAUGGAAUAAUAAGAUAGGACCUCGGUACUAUUUUGUUGGUUUGAGAACCAAGGUAAUGAUGAAUAGGGACAGUUGGGGGUAUUCGUAUUCAGUUGUCAGAGGUGAAAUUCUUAGAUUUACGGAAGACGAACUACUGCGAAAGCAUUUACCAAGGAUGUUUUCA